CCAACAGGGGNAUGNCNUUAGUACGGCGAGUGAAGCGGCAAAAGCUCAAAUUUGAAAUCUGGCACCUUCGGUGUCCGAGUUGUAAUUUGAAGAAGGUAACUUUGGAGUUGGCUCUUGUCUAUGUUCCUUGGAACAGGACGUCACAGAGGGUGAGAAUCCCGUGCGAUGAGAUGCCCAAUUCUAUGUAAAGUGCUUUCGAAGAGUCGAGUUGUUUGGGAAUGCAGCUCUAAGUGGGUGGUAAAUUCCAUCUAAAGCUAAAUAUUGGCGAGAGACAGAUAGCGAACAAGUACAGUGAUGGAAAGAUGAAAAGAACUUUGAAAAGAGAGUGAAAAAGUACGUGAAAUUGUUGAAAGGGAAGGGCUUGAGAUCAGACUUGGUAUUUUGCGAUCCUUUCCUUCUUGGUUGGGUUCCUCGCAGCUUACUGGGCCAGCAUCGGUUUGGAUGGUAGGAUAAUGACUAAGGAAUGUGGCUCUACUUCGGUGGAGUGUUAUAGCCUUGGUUGAUACUGCCUGUCUAGACCGAGGACUGCGUCUUUUGACUAGGAUGUUGGCAUCAUGAUCUUCACCCACACAUCAUGAAACACAGA
rnacentral:rRNA from 1 species